UGAGGUCUGCACGCACACGUACACACACACAGCCAUACACACCCACACACAGCCACAGCAGGGGUGUGGUCACAACCUGGCAGUGACUUCUCAGUCCCAAGGCCUGGAGACCACGUAGUCCGAGGACCUUGCGGGCUUCACAUAGGCCCGGGCAUCGGGAGGCUGAGCGUGGGCAGGGCCGGGCACUGCCCAAACCCCCGCUGCUCCCCUCCAGGCCCCUGCGCCCCAACUUCAGCACACUCGCAAGACGGGGCAGUGGGCAGGGGCCCUCCACACAGGCUGGAAGCGCUUCAGGGUCUCUGCGUCCGGCCUCUGCAUUCUCUCUCCGUUCUUUCUUUCCGAAGGGCAUCCCACAGAGGGCUUGGUCCCUGAAAAGCUAAGGAGAGAGGCUGGUGUCCGGAGGGAGUCCCGGAGGAAAGGAAGUAGCACCCCGUGCAGAAGCCGCAGGGGACCCGAAGGGACAAGAGGAGAAAAUGUGAAAAGAGACAGGGCUUGGAGACAAAAGUCUUCUUUGGCAGAGCUGCCUGGUGCCAGAUCAGAUGGGGCGUCAUUCUCCUGAGAGACUCGACUGUGGACUCUUGGUGCUUACGGGUAGGAGGGGGCCUUGUCCACAGGCCUGUCCCCUCUCCAGAGGGUCCCCUGGCCUCCCUCCUCCAGGCUCAGGCCUGACCCUCCCUGCCUUGUAGGCAGAGCCUUCUUUCUGGAGGCAGUCCUGACUCUGUCCCCGCACAGAGCCCUCCAGUGGCUUCCCAGGGCCCCAGGAUGAGACCCGGACUCCUCCCCUGGCCUGCCCUCCAGUCUGGGCUCCCAGCCUCUCGCCUCUUCCUCCCCUACCAACACCCCAGGCCCCAGCCGAGCACUGGCCUGCUCCAGCUGACUGUGGGACUCCCAGCAGGUGCUCGGCGUGGGACACACGGGCGUCAUGAUCCGCGCUUCCGUGAAUGCACUCUGGCUACGUGCGUGAUAACCAUGUGGCCAACGGGAUACUUUUCUCCCAGCUUCAAAGUUCUGCGUAGGCAGACAUCACAUCCCGGCACACCAGGGAACGUCCUCGGGAACCAGCCCUGUCCAGCAGGCUGCAGGGUCUGUCCCAGCCCCAGGGAAUCAGGAGGGCUCCCCUCACACCCCUUGUUGCCUGCAGAGAGCCCCGCCGUGCUUCCUGCUGCCUUCCACGGGGCUCCAGGGGAAAGGAAGGGCUCCCAGGCCCGCAGCUAGACUCCCACAGAGCUUUGCUUUUGCCCUUGGGAUGGACCAUCGAAAGAGGGGCCUGUUCCAGUCCCCCAGCCCCCAGCACUUGCCUGCAAGAGGGGAGACCAUGGUGCACUCAGGGGGGGCCGAGACACCACGUCCGAGAUGGGAAGGAAAGGGGGCCACGCAAGGGUCUUUCUUCUCGGUGGCCCCAGGACACGGGCCUUCAGCUAAGAAAACAUUUUUAGUGCUUUUUGCUGCAGACGCCCACAUUCCUGAAUUCCAGCCGUGAAUGGAAGGCAGCAGGCCUCAGGUGGAGGGAGAGGCCCUACCUGUCUUGGCUACAAGGAAAAGGCAUAAAAAGGACCUAGACACGUGUCACAGAAAGUGCUGCAAACGUGUGCAGGGCAGACCCUCAGUGAAGCUUGGAGCCAACCAACAGGCCAGAGGCAAGUCUAGGACGUGAGGUGGCAGGGCCAAACCUGAGCGGCAGCAGCCAGAAGCCCAGGGGGGCAGGACCUCCUGAUUCCAAUGGACGCUGCCCUCCCCAGGGGCAGGCCAUCCAUGGGGGACAGACCAGGAGCUGCUUCUCCAGGCCGGGAACCAUCUGGGUGGCCAGGAAGUGGGUCAGGGAAUGCCAGGGAGCUGCCAAGGCUUGAAGUCACUGUGCCCAGGCCUGCCCUUCCCUGAGGGGGUGUGAGGGAGGAUUGAGGCAAGAAGGUGGGGAGGCCGGAGAACUACGCGGCUCUCUUCAGGGCAGGAGACCUGAGUGCGGGAGGUCAGGGGUGCGGGGGAGGCAAGUCAGGGCCGUUGCCUUGAGAUCCCUGAUAACAGGAACUGCCUUUGUUUCUCUCGGUGCGGAGUGCUCUGUGCAACAUUGAGCUCCUCCUUGGGGGGCCCAGUCUCCGUGAGGCUUUAAGGAAAAGGAACUGACGGGGGUGGUCAGCUGUAUUCCUCUGUUCUUAGACCUCCCUUGCAUAGGGUAAGGGCUGUGGCCAGGCCUGUCCUUCAACCUGCCAAGGCUGGGUGGAACCAGGUGGGGCAGCUUUUGGACCAGAAGACAAAAGUCUCUUUCUCGGACACCACUCUAGGUCCCAGAUACAAAGGCUCAGGUGCUGUGGAAGGCAGAAUUCUAAGAUGUCCCCAUGACCUCCUUCCCUGGGGUUUGCUCCCAUAAUUAGACCAGGUCAUAUGGCAAAAAGGGAUUUGCAGUGAAAUUAAGGUUACUCAUCAGUUGACCUUCAAACAGGACAGGUAUCUGGGUGGGUCUGACUUAAUCACAUGAGCGCUUUAAAAACAAAGUCUCCGGUGAGAACGGAGAGUCGGGAUUCCAAGCACAGGAAGAAUUUGAUGUACUGGGUCAUGGCUUAGAAGACGGAGGCUCUGCAUGGAAAGGAUUUCAGAACCACCUCUAGGAACUGAGAAAGACCCUCCAACCAAGAAUCAGCAAGACCAUGGGGACCUCAGUUCUGCAACCCCAUGCAACCAGGAAACCUGUUCUGUUCACAACCUAAAUGACCCGGGGACAGAUUAUCCCCCAGAGCCUCUAGUGAGAGCUCGGCCUGGCCAACACCUUGAUUUUGGCUUUGAGGCCCUAAGCGGAGACCCAGGCGCGCCCACCCCAGACUUCUAACCUACAAAACUAGGAGCUGACAUGGGUGCUGUUAAGCUUCUAGGUUUGUGGCGGUUUGUUACUGAGCAAAGGAGACCUAACCCAGAGGCCCGCACGGAGAUGGCUUCAAGCUGCGUAGGCUGACCCCAGAUGCAGAUGCCAAUGAGGCCCUGGGGAAUGGCAGAGCACCCAGAAGGAAAGAGCCUGGGUUCCUGGAUCACCACGUGGAGGAAAGCCACUGGCCCGUCAAGGAUACCUCCCUUGAGGGGCACCCAGGUGUCUCAGUCGAUUAAGCGGUGAAGCAUCUGCCUUCAGCUCAGGUCAUGAUCUCAGGGUCCCAGGAUCGAGCCCUGUGUCUGGUUCCCUGCUCAGCGGGGCGUCUGCUUCUCCUUCUCCCUAUGUCCCUCCUUCUCCACUCGCGGUCUCAGUUGCUCUCUUUCUCUCAAAUAAAUAAAUAAAAUCUUAAAAAAAAAAA